GGGGAGCCUGGGGAAAAGGGCGACACCGGUUCAGCUGGAAAUACAGGAGCUCAGGGGCGAGCAGGGCCUUGACGGGGAGAGCGGAUCAAAAGGACCAGAUGGACUAAAAGGUGAAAAUGGCCUUUCUGGAUCAGAGGGUGAAAAAGGAGAUCCAGGUGAAACUGGACUCAAAGGAAAAGAGGGAACCCCGGGGCCUCUGGGAUUGGUCGGUGUGAGGGGUCAGGAGGGGAAACCUGGCACAAUCGGAGAGAAAGGAAAACCAGGACUGAAGGGGCGCCAGGGUUACCAAGGUCAUCUGGGGGAGGGUGGACAGCCCGGAGAGCAGGGGCAAAGGGGGCUCCUGGGGCUGAAGGGGAGCAGAGGAACCA